rnacentral:rRNA from 1 species
UACGGAGGAUGCAAGCGUUAUCCGGAAUGAUUGGGCGUAAAGCGUCCGCAGGUGGCAAUGUAAGUCUGCUGUUAAAGAGUGAGGCUCAACCUCAUAAGAGCAGUGGAAACUACAUAGCUAGAGUACGUUCGGGGCAGAGGGAAUUCCUGGUGUAGCGGUGAAAUGCGUAGAGAUCAGGAAGAACACCGGUGGCGAAGGCGCUCUGCUAGGCCGUAACUGACACUGAGGGACGAAAGCUAGGGGAGCGAAUGGG